CCCGAUUCACAUACUCCUUGGACAAGACCCUCCUCCGAACAUACGCCGAACUGCUGGAACGGGCAUACAAAUAUAUGCGCGCAGACGAAGGAGCUUCCGACCGGCGCCUGACCGAGGCCAUGGGCCUGAAGGAAAAGUGAAAGAAAGCCCGUGCCCCUGCCGAGCUUAGCGGGCCUCCAACUGACAAACGGGUCUCACCCCGACGGCCG
rnacentral:lncRNA from 1 species